AUGCAAGUGGUAGGAAGCCGAAAGGUGACGACCUUCGGGAGCUUGCACAGGUGCUGCAUGGCUGUCGUCAGCUCGUGUCGUGAGAUGUUCGGUUAAGUCCGCUAACGAGCGCAACCCUCGCUGUGUGUUACAAGUGUCACACAGGACCGCCGGGUCCUUUAAAGCCGGAGGAAGGUGGGGAUGACGUCAAGUCAGCAUGGCCUUUAUGUCCAGGGCUACACACACGCUACAAUGGUCAGCACAAUAGGUAGCCAAGCCGCGAGGUGGAGCCAAUCCUCAAAGCUGGCCUCAGUUCAGAUCGCAGGCUGCAACCCGCCUGCGUGAAGCCGGAGUUGCUAGUAACCGCAGGUCAGCUAUACUGCGGUGAAUACGUUCCCGGGGCUU
rnacentral:rRNA from 1 species